UACGUAGGCAGCGAGCGUUGUUCGGAAUUACUGGGCGUAAAGAGUGUGUAGGCGGUGCUCCCAGUCUGUUGUGAAAUCUCCCGGCUUAACUGGGAGGGUGCAGCGGAAACUAGAGUGCUAGAGGGUGGGAGAGGUAAGCGGAAUUCCUGGUGUAGCGGUGAAAUGCGUAGAUAUCAGGAGGAACACCUGUGGUGUAGACAGCUUACUGGACCACUUCUGACGCUGAGGCACGAAAGCGUGGGGAGCAAACAGG
rnacentral:rRNA from 1 species